UCCACUUUUCCCACCCGGCCUCAAGAUGGCGGAAAAGUAUUGCAUUUCGUUUCGGUCAUUUUAAUUUUAUAAACACUUCAUUUAAAAGAAUAUCAAAUUCAUCAAUUUAAUGACUACACAAGUAAAGACAGAAAUGAUUCAUCACCGAGGAGACAGAGAAGUCAGGAGGAAAGAAGAGUUCUGUGAAAGCCAAACCAGAGCUGUGUGUUCAGCACUCACAAGCACCCGUAAAGUGUGGAAGCGGUGCUGACGAGGCAUCCGUCCCAUCCGCCGUGACCGUGGGUCAACCGGCCGGCGGUGAAUAACCGAGGCGAGCCACGUUUGCAAGCGGCGAAGGAACAAGGUGCCGACGGCAUGAUUUGUAUCGGGGUGGCUCAUUGUGAGGAAACUCGCAUGCUAAGCAGAUGUAAAUGAGCUCGCUGACUUUGCAGCGGGAGCUCUCGAGUGUGGACACGUGUCUAAAAAUAGUCGGUAAGCAUCGCUCGGUCCGGCCGGCUGCAUCCCACCCGCCGAUCAAAAGGCAAAUAAAUGGGAGUGAAGGUCGCGGGAUGGAGCACGUCGAUAAAAGUUAUUCUGAGCGCGUCCGCCUGUCCUUAGCCUCCUUAUCGAUUGGAAAGGGGAGGGGG